AAGCUAUGGUGAGGGCAUAACCUCAUCAACUCCUUGAAUCUAUCCCAAGAUUCAUACAAUGAUUCACCGUCUCUUUGUGAAAAACUAGUGAUUUGGUUCCACAAU